rnacentral:ncRNA from 1 species
UUUUCAUCCCUGUCAGAGGUAAAAAUAGCUGUAUAAACGGCACGUUCACUUAAGUGAACAUCACUCUGACAGAAUACCCUGCUGUACCCCUACGAGUGUCUCAAAGAAAGCGGUGUAACCAG